AAUCUAUAUAUUAUAAAAAUAUUAUAUCUAACUUCCAAUUAGAAGAUCUAAAAAAAUUAGUAUAGAU
rnacentral:tRNA from 1 species